GUUUAAUUGAAGACUCUUUAUUUAUAUUAACAAUUAAUGCUGAAACAAAGCCUUGUAGAAUAAUGCAUUCUGCAGUUAUGUGUAGUACUGAUGUGAGCAGUGAUGAGCUGUGUAGCAGUGAACAAAAAUAAAGACACUCAAUAUCCGUAUGAAUCUCCAUCUCAAGGUCAAUCAUAAAAAAUAAAAAAAACAUUUUCUUUGAAUAAAUCACAUUGUUAGAUAUUCUCAUAAAUCAAUUCUGCAGCCCAUGUCAAACUAAUGUCAAUAUGUUUGUGUACUAAUGUACUCGUAAUGGAACUUGAAAACACCACAAACACCACGGUGGAGUGUAAACACAGCAAAUACUGUGAGAUCGUUAACAGCUCAUGCAUGCAUUUCUAAUGAGAAAUGCUAAAACACUUUAUUUCUAUCUUUAUUUUAUUUAAAUGCUUUAAUUGUACACUUCAUGUUUAAAGUGACAAGUAUGACUUUAGUGUGGUUAUUUUUAAUAUAAAGGUUGCACUCUUGCUUCUGAAAAAGCCUUGUGGCCUCGGUCUUAGUCACUGCUGCUGCUGCUGCUGCUACUGCUGCUGGACGACUGCAAAGAAAAAGAGAAAGAUUAGAUAUUAUGCAUAUUCAUAUUUCAAUAAAGUUAACAAAACAGCUAUUGUUUAAGAAACAUUUUGAUGAUGUCACCCUUGUGAUGAGAGUUUUGUAGUAUUUAAAAAUAUUUUAUAAGCCAAACAAUUUAAUAAUAAGUAUUUAGAAAUUUGAUUUGUCAAUAAUAAAAUUAAUUUGUAGUUGAAGCACGCUAUAUGUUUGCCACAAAUGUUGCAGAGAACAUAUCACCUCUAUUCUAUGAUUAUUGAGAGUUUUGUGUGAGCAAUAAUUUUCAUAAUAGGAUUUAGAACUGGUUAUUGUCUGUUCUGAUGUGUCGUGACAAUCUUAAUGAUAAUAUAUCUCUACUUCUUUUCAGGUAAAAUGUAAACCAUGUCUCUCGAGUUAUGGGCGCAUUUUUGCUUUUCUGAUGUUUGCAACACUGCCUGACAUGGAGUUGGUGGCCUGGGUUUUGCGGGGGCGAGGCAGGUUAAAGUUUCUUCCGGUUAUCCAUUAUCGGCAUGAAUACUUA
ensembl:lncRNA